rnacentral:misc_RNA from 1 species
UGCAGAUCGACCGAACGUGUUGAUGACCCCUGCUGUAAAACUGACCAUGAAAUAUCGGCUUCUAGUGAUUGGAGCAGGUCUUUCAGGCCUCACUACUGCCUACACAUUAGCAAAGAAUGGACAUGACGUGACAGUGUUGUUCAAGGAUUCCUGUGGCAUUGUUUCACAAGUAGCGGCAGCAUGUUGGGUGCUUCCAGAAGCUAAAAAACUUCAGGAAUGGGCGAUGUGUAGCUAUCACAAAUUUACUGAGCUAGCAAAAAAAGACANUGCAACAGGAGUUAUCAUUAAGGACUUUCAUUUCGUCUUCAACACAAAGAUACUCGACUCUCCUAAGUACAGUUCAUUUAUGGAAAACCACAAAAACAUCCCGGGAUUCCGUCACUCACGUGAUAUUCUACGAGAAAAAGGCAUCAAUGGAGCUGGAUUGGUUGAUUGCUUUACUUACCAAAGUCCUUUCGUUGAUACUGAUGUUUACCUCAAGUGGCUCACUAAACAGUGUCAGUCAANAGGAGUACGAUUUCAAAAGGGAUCCAUUACCGGGCUAUUGGCAGAUCAAAUCGAUUCUUUAAAAAAAGAAUUCCUUGUAGAUUUAGUUGUGAAUUGUNCGGGUCUUGGUGCCAAGGAACUGGCUGGUGAUGAAGACGUUUUCCCUGGAGUAGGAGCUGCUUUUCUUUUUCAAAAAAGCGACAAAUCGUUGCUCGAUUUCGGUAUUAAUUGUCAGGUGGUUUGGGUGGAUGAAGAAUUCCAUGCAUAUGGACACUUUAUAAUGAUCCCACGCAAUGAAGACGGUUUAUAUUGGAUUGGAACGCUCAAUGCUGGAAACACCGAUACAAAACAGUUGCACGCACAUCAUCCUAUUGUACAACGAAUGCUCGACGAAUGCAUCAGUAUCUAUCCCAAAUUAAAGGACAUCAUUGCUGGACAGCAGAUAACUUUAUUGGUCGGUUCCAGGCCUAUGCGCAAGGGAGGUCCACGUGUUGAACAAGAUGAUCAGUGUCAAUCAAUUAUUCACAAUUACGGGCAUUCUGCUUAUGGUUGUAUACUAUCAUGGGGUUCUGCUGAGGAGGUUUUGCGUGUUGUUGAACAUACUGGAUUCAUGAAGACUGCUAAGUUAUGAUGCAUUGCUCGUCAGCUUAACUAACUCACUAAAAAACAAACUGCUUCCCUAAAAAAAAACUAUAAGAAUAACAAAAACAACGAUGUUACUUUGGCAAACAACACAAAGUCGAGAAUUGACCAACAUUCUGUAAACGUUUGUUUCCGGACCUGAAACAUUGGUUUGUACUGUUGUAGCUUCUUAGCUGGAUUGUUUAAUAAAACAAAUAAAUCGCGGCUUGUCCAACAUGCAAAAAAAUG